GUUUCACCCGGCAGUUUCUAGUUGACUCACUUUUAACGGCCUCGCUCCAACCCUGGCCCCGCCAGCAGCGGCGCUUCCCAGGGGGACAGGCAGGGUGUGGGUAGCAGGGUUAGCCUGGGAGCACAUGGGGACCCCCACCCCAGCAUCCCACCCAGCGCUGGCAGUCUGGUGCUCGGUGGUGAAACGUGGCUUAGCCCGAUGGGUCUCACCCUGAGCCCAGCCCUGUGGGAUGGCAGUCCCUCUCUUUUGGGUGCAGAGGUGGGCACUUGGCUGUGCCACAGGUGCUGUGGUUCUUCCUUGUGCCCCAUUGUGCCUGGCAGGAUGGUGGCAAACAAUGAUCUUCCCAUCCAAAAAGCUCUCAAGAGCUGGUUUUGGCAUCCUUGAUUUUUUUGGUGCAGUGGCAGCCCUCCCCACACUCUCCAGGAGCAUCGCCAGGUCAGAGCCCUCUGUCCCAAGGCUCUUUUUGAGGCCACCCUUUGAGCUGCAAAGCAGGGCAAGCUGUGCCCAUCCCUGCGCCUCUGUCCCCUGUUCUCAGAAGGGAUAUGGUGGCUUGUGUUGGGAACACAGUCAUUAGGCAUCAGCGUUAACAGUGACUCGACUGAGGCACUGUGGCUCUGUUGGGGUCUGGCAGAAUGAUGGCCAGGAGAUGCUACUGGCUAUCUGUGCCACUGGGGCUGUGGACCCAGUGGCUAGUGGACCCCCUUUCCCACUAGCCCCAGGGCAGUGGAGGGGGCUCAGGGAAUCUUUGGGUGAGAACAGCCCCUUCCUCCUCCUCCUCCUCCUCCUCCUCCUCCUCUAGCACAGCUCUCUGGCCCAUGAGGUGCUGGAUGGAUGGGAGCCAUGUGGGCACAGCUGGGCAGCAGGCAGCUGCCUGCCCCCAGCACAGAGAUGUGCCCAUAGGCCAGGGCGCCGGCAGGAGUUUGUCUCCUUUAAAGACAGCGCAGGGCCGAAGGCAGCUGGCCUGGCCACCACUUCCCCUGCAUGCAGUGAGCACUGUGACCGCAGGCGAGGAGGGGAAGUUGCUGCAAGGCACGAUAAGAAAUAUCAGCGCUUUCGCAGCGCUCGGGCUGUGCUGCCUGACAAGGGCCCUUCCCCCUGCCCGUGGGCCAGGGCCGGCAGCACUGCUGCCCCCUGAGCCCACGGGUCCCACUUCCCUGCACUCGCCGAUACUGGGAGAGUUACUGGAAAAGCAACAGCCCAUGUCCCACGGGGCAGCAGGGAGACUGGGUCCUGGGGGGGUGGCAGCAACGAUGCACCCUUGGUGCUCAAUACAGAGCAAAAACUGGGUGGCACCCCUGGGUGCACGGGGAUGCUGCGGGUGUCUGACCUGCAUCUGGGUGCCACGAGACAAGGGCAGGGGGAGGGCAGAGCCAUGGGAGCAGUGCCAUGGUGGGAGACGGUUUGGGUUAGGGAGCUGUGGCGGGUCAGGGAGCUGCACCCUGGGGAGCAGCAGUACCUAGUACCCUGGGGGUCCAUCAGCAAGUCCCUGGGUGACACUGAGCAGGUGGGCAGGGUGCGGAGAGGGGCCUCAGGAGUGCUGGGACUGGACGCUCUCACAAGGUCCCGGGGGAGGAAACGCAUCUGUUUCAGCCUCCCCCAACCCCAAAAAGCCUCUGUGCUCUCAGCCCUUUGGGAGCUAUUUUAGCUGGGUGUGCCGAGCGGAGCAGGACGAGCGAUCCGGAGCCAUGGGCUGGGGUAGAAAUUCCCGCAGCCUCGUUUGCCGGUCGGUAAAAUUAACCAAUGGCCGGGGGAUGUGGUAAGUUCAUCAUCAGUUGGAGACUUUCAGACCUCCUCGUCUGAGCCCGAGGAACCAGAUCUGCUGAUUUCCUCCUUUGCAAGAUGCAGCGCAGGCGGUGGGUGGCUGCUGCUGGCAGAAGGAAACCAGCUUGGGACACCCAAAAUGUCAUGUCCCCCCAUCCGUGCUCAGCCAGGGAAAGAGGAAGUGUCACCUCCCCCCACUUCCCUGCUGGGAAAGUGCCUGCGGCCCUCCUGCAUGGCUCCUCGGCACACGGGCGCCUGGCUGGGUACAGGCAGCAGCACAGGCAGGCGGUCAGCAGUGUUCUGCCAGACAGCCCCAUUUCGGGAAGGCACAGCUCCUUCCCCACAGCGUCCCCCAGCACCAGCCAUGUGCUUCGUCCUACACCUGACAUCUUGCCCUCCGGCGCGGUCUCUCCAAGUUGCCUCCUUUAGGAAACACAUCUUCAUCUUGCUUUGCAACAUGGUUAGCUUUAAAUGGACCUUUUCUCAUGAGGGCCUGGCUUCUCACCUUCACCUCCUGCCUCCCAGGCCUCUGUAUUUAGCAGGGGCUGGCUUGUCGUCAGAGCAAGGCACGCUGCAAGAAACAUGGCCUUGACCUCGGCACACACAGAAAGUCCCUCAGCAGCACCUCUGGGACCAAAGCUCCCUCUGGCUGCCCCAAAAAAGGCUCCUCGGCUCUGCUGUAAGAGCACGCUUGCCUGUGCCCUGUGCAACUUUGUCCCCCCCGUGAUGGCAUCCACCACCGCUGGGGACCAUCCCAUGUCACCGAGGUGGCUAACAGUGCUGAGUGCUGUCCCCAGGGGAGUCUCUGGGUUGGGAAUAACCUGCUUACACACCCAAAAUGAUGUUCACACAUUUCAGGUGUCACCACGAGGGCUAAUUCGGGGAGCUGAGGAGGCACCUAGCCCAGCUUCACGUGGGACCAGCCGUGCACGUGGUGGCCUCCACUGCCGGUGAGGAGCUGCUCACCACAUGGCUCUGGCAAGGCAGAGGGAUGCUCUCCCAGGUCGGAGCUGCAUCAGCUGCCAAAAGGACCCUCUGGAGACAUCACCAGUGGCAGCUUAGAUUUCCCUGUUGAAUUUCUCACUGGAGCGGGGAGCACGAUGUCCCCAGCCCAGUGACUGUAAGGGAUGGAGAUGGGCACAGGACCAGUGAAGGAUGGGAGCCAGGGCAACCCUCUGGGAGCCAGAGGUGCAGGGACGGGGUCGGGCAGGUGGAUGGGCUCACUCCAGCCAUUUCUGUUUUUUUUUUUUUCCAGUGAAACUCUUUGAGCAGUUCAAACGUGGUUUGGAGUUUCCUGACCAAUUCCCUCUCCACCAAAGCCCCUUCUACCUGCUGUCAUCAGUGCACAUGCUGCUCAAGUCAAAUCACUUCUGACUGUGCCAUUGCUUGGUUAUUUUUGACUUUGCUCUUCCCCUGCCUUCUGCAAACCUCACCAGUAGGUUUUUUUGGUUUGGGGGGUUUAUUUUUCAUUUCUGUCCAGAUUAUCAAUGUAGAGAGUGAAUUGCGUUAGCCUAAAAAAGAGCCUUUUGCAGAGCCACAUGAAAACCAUUGCAUGGACCAAUGUGGUCCCGUUUACAGUCACUUUUGGGGAUUUAGCUCAUAGUUUUUAAUCUAGUUUAAUGGGCAGCUUCACCCAGCACUGGGGCAGGGUGUGCUUCCGGCACGAAGAGUGGUGCUGGCUGUGCAAACUCCCCCUGCUCCACAACCUGUGGCUGCUCUGGCCCCAGUGCCAUCAGGCAGUGAUGGCCAUUGCGACCUGAGCAUGCAAAUCCUGCAAACCCAGCUUUCAGUUUUAUUCCUGGGGGCCUCACGUCCCUGUCGGCCGUUACAGCUACCCGGGGCCGGGAGAAGUCUGGUGUUGCAGAGCACCAAGCGGGUGAGAGGCUCCAGGAGGUCUCUGGGGCAACACAUUUCCUAAAGAGCAGGUUCAGGGCUCGCAGCCUGCUGGCACCCACGUCCCCGCCUGCCUUGCCUUUACCACCAGGCAGCACCUUGAAUCCUGCAGACCCCAGCCAUGGGCUGCCAGCCCCUCCGUAAGCUCUUUCCAUGGUCAGGAACAUCUUGAUCCUGUGCAGGUCCCACCACCAGGAUGGGGCAAGGGGACAUGAUGGAGCUGCACGGCCAUCCUGACCCCCACACAGCUGUGUGUGUGGGGUGGAUUUGGUUACUGUCAACCUGUGCAAGCAGCUGGUUUUUUUUUUUCUUUCUUUUUUUUUGCACAAACAUGUUUGUCGCUCUCAGCAGCAAAGCCCAGGAGAGCGUAACCGGCUGCUCUGCAACGGCCCCCGGUGCUUCCGGCGCUUGGUGGCGGCCACCCCUUGCCCCACGGCUGGGCUGGCUGCGGUCAGGCUGCGUGGUGGCACUGGGUGGGACCAUGCACCGUUAUCUCUUCGGCAGCUACGGCUCUUCCUGUGGUCGGGGCCACGUGGGCAGGAUGGGGUUAAAAGCGGCCUCGCUCCGCUGCAGGGGCCCAUUGCUCCCUGGCAGCCACCACCACCCUAUGCAGCACCCCUCCGCACCGGCACGCGCCACUGGCACCCGGCGUGGGUCACCAGCACCCAGUGUGGGUCACCAGCACCUGGCAUGGGCCAUUGGCACCCAGCAUGGGCCACCCGCACCCCGACCUGGUAAUGGGGGAUCCAUCCGAGGCGCCCACGUGGUGCUCGAGAUGCAGCAUGGGGUCUCCUGGGGUGCUGGAGAAUGUGGCCCCGAUCCCACUGCGAGGGGGGCAGUGGGUGCAGGGGGCCGAUGGCAGGUAAGGGGGUGCCCCCCCAUCCCGGGGAGCGGGGAGCAGGGCGCAGGGUGGAGGCGCGGGGGGAGGAGGCACCGCACUGGCGGGCGGGUGGAGGCGGGAAGCGCCCAAAGCAGAAGUGCCACCCAGGGAGUCUUCGGUGGCAGUGGGAUGGGACUGGGUGGACAGAGAGGCUGGCGGGGCAGGUGAGGUGAGGCUGUCGGGGCUGGGGUCUGCGUGGCUUCGGGUGCGGGGACCUCCGGGUGACCCCCACCACAUGGCCCAAAGGUCAAUGGGGGCAUCAAAAGGGUCUCCGUGUGGCUGGCAGAUGGGGUGAGGUGGAGUCCCCCAUGGGUCUCUGUGGCCUCAGGGGCAGGGGGACGGGACAAGGGCGUCUUUGGUAAAGGACGGGGGGAAGAGGUGGGGUCCCCCAUGGGGACAUUGUGAUGUGGAUGGGGUUUGUCAUUGGAUCCCUGCCAUGGGGACAAGGGAAAAGAGUCCUCUGUGACCAGAGUGGCAUUUAGGUGAGGUCUCCACCAUGGGGACAAGGCAAUGCAAGGGGUCCCCAUCACGUAGGUGGAGUUUGCCAUGGGCUCCCCACCAGAGGGACAAGGCAAAGGAGUCCUCUAUGACCAGGGUGCUGUUUAGAUGGGGUCCCAUCAUGGGGACACGGCAAGGGGGGUCUCUGACGCAGAUGGGAUUUGAGGGACAAUGAUGGAAUUUGAGGGGGGAUCUCACCCUUGGGGAUCCAGGUGAGGGUGUCCUCUGAGACCAGGAUGGGAUUUGAAGGGCAACAAUGGAGUUCAAGGUGGGUUCUCUCCCAUGGGGACAAGGCAAGGGGGUCCUCUGUGAAUGGGAUGGGGUAUGAGCUGGAGGUCUCCCUAUUGAGGCAAAGCAAACACACCCUCUGUGCCCAGGAUGAGGUCUGAGAGGGGAUGAUGGGGUUUGAGGUGGGGUCCCCACCAGCAGGGACAAGGCAAUUGGGUUCUCUGUGAUCAGGAUGGGGUCUGAGGUGGGGUGCCCUGCUUUGGGGACAAGUCAAAGUGGUCUCCUAUGACCAGGAUGGAGUAUUAGCUGGAGUCCCCCCUUGGGGGACAAGUGAAAGUUGUCCCCUAUGACCAGGAUGGGGUAUUAGGUGGUUUCCCUGCUUUGGGGACAAGGUGAGGAUGUCCCUUGUGCCCAGGAUAGGGCUCGAGGUGGGACAAUGGGGUAUGAGGUAGGGUCUCACCCAUGGGGACAAGAUGAGGAUGUCCCCUGUGCCCAGCAUGGGGUUUUAGGGGAGACGAGGGAGCACAUGGCAGGAUCUCCCCUGUGGGGACAAGGAUGUCCUCCAUGCCCGGCACAGCUCCCUGAGGCAGGAGGUGACACUGGCAGAGACUCUCUGUCCCCAGGGCAAGACCAGCCCUGCAAUUUUCAUUCCUGGCCAUGCUGAUGCCAAAGGUGGUCCCAUGGCCAGGCCAUGUGGCGUGCAGGAGGUGGCCCCGUGCGGGCAGAAGCAAGCACUUCGCUGGAGGAGAGCAACCGCCGGACACCGACUGAGAGACAGUGCAGUCACCCAUAAAGUAGAAAGCACUACUAAACAGCACUGCAGGGUGUAGUGUUUCCUACUUUAUGGAUGAGUGUACUGUGGGCUACGGAGAAGAGAGCACCGCCACGACCCAUGUGCCCGUCACGAGUUGCGCGCAGUCCAAGAGCAGAGGACAGGCUGUGCCUGGCUCACGGGAGGGUGCCCACACUCAGCCGCUUGCCCCAUGGGCACUGCCACCCUCCCCAGGCUGUGGAUGCUCUGCUCGUCCCUGCUGUCCCUCUGGCACCUGGGGACCGGCCAUGUGGGGAAGAGGGGCUGCAUAGCCUGGCACCCCACGUGCGUGGUGGAGGGGCCCAUUGGGUCGGAGCAAGCAGUACGCUGUGAGGCCAGGGGAAGAGACACUUGCAACAGGGUUAUCCCGCAGCAGAAGGCACCACGAGCUUGCACGCUGCUGGAGACCAUGUUCAAAGCCCUGGGGGAGCCUUGGUGGGACUAUGGGUGGGGGUGGUGGAAAUAGCUCAAGAGGAGCCAGCAAAUCUCAGCCCAUCAACACAGGGGUCUCACCUUCAGUCCCCCAAGGCUCACUGGCAAAGCUGCCGUGUCAUGCGGCACCCCCAGCCAUGGCCGCAAGGCCAUGUGGAGCUAAGAGCCCCUCCUAUGGUCCCUGUCUCCCUCCAGCCACGCACCCCUGGCCUGUCCUUCCUUGGGGGGUUCUAAAGCCAGCCCGGCUUCCAGGGAUGCAGGGGGAGGGUCCAUGUUCCCCAAACAUCAGUUCCCAAACCCCCCAGGCAUCUUCACCCUUGGCUUUGACUGAUCUCCUGCCUGUGGGAGAAGGCAUCUAAAAAUAGUAGAAAAAAAUACAUUAAAAAUACAUAUUUUUUCCCCCUUUUGGAGCCCAAAUGUUAAUGGAAAGUUCCCACAUUUUGUAAAACUUCUUGUGCUGGUCUCGGGAAUGUUUGUGGGUGUUUUUAU